GUUAAGCAUUGAGGUAUAUAAUUGCAUCAUGUGGACUGAAAAAAUAAAUGAAUGUAAAUUCUAGGCUAUUGUACUACACAAGUCUACUACAUAGUUGAUACUGUAGGACAGGCUACAGAAAUAAGAAAACUGGUCUCUCUCAUCAGCAAUAGUGUGGCAAUUCUAAAAUUUCAACAUGCGGCCUACACAGCUAGCUCAUGUGGAGAAGAGAUAUGAGACUGAUUGCGAAUAAAUGUACACUUAGUUUAGUGCAGCAUGGAUCUACAAAGUGAAAUAUAUGUACCAAAAAUAUUAGUUUAUUCAAAACUAAGCCUUUUUCAGCACUGCAGUCAACAGAACAGUGAUAGUGACAAGAAUUGAGACUAUUUAAUACCUCAAACAAUGGAAAAAUACUUCCUGAGAUCAGUUGUAAGUGGUUUUAUAUCAUGCAUGAAACAAUAAACUAAAGUAUUUUUGAGAACUGUUGGAUAAUUCAUACACUGUACCAGAAAACUCACACAAUAAAAUUUAUUAAAUAUGAACACAAUC